rnacentral:rRNA from 1 species
AUAAGAUAUCAAGGGCAACAGGUGAAUGCCUUGGCGCUGAGAGGCGAUGAAAGACGCGGUAAGCUGCGAUAAGCAUCGGGGAGGAGCUAAACAUCCUACGAUCCGAUGAUUUCUGAAUGGGGAAACCCGAUGGGAGUCAUGUCCCAUCAUCCUGAGCUGAAUAUAUAGGCCCAGAGAAGCCAACCCGGGGAAGUGAAACAUCUCAGUACCCGGAGGAAGAGAAAUCAAACGAGACUCCCAAAGUAGCGGCGAGCGAAAUGGGAAGAGCCCAAACCGGGUGGUUUCGACCAUUCGGGGUUGUAGGGCCGGCAUACGCGAUUCUGGAGUAGGCAGAGGAAGUGAGCUGGAAAGCUCCGCCACAGCGGGUGAUAGCCCCGUACUCGAAACCGAAAAGGACGCAGCCGGUACCUGAGUACUGCGAGGCACGUGGAACCUCGUGGGAAUCUAGGGGGACCAUCCUCUAAGGCUAAGUACUCCUCAGCGACCGAUAGUGAACUAGUACCGUGAGGGAAAGGUGAAAAGAACCCCUGUUAGGGGAGUGAAAUAGAAUCUGAAACCUGUUGCCUACAAGCUGCGAGAGCUACUUCGGUAGUGAUCGCGUGCCUUUUGUAUAAUGAGUCAGCGAGUUACUCUACCGUGCGAGGUUAAGCGAAAGCGUAGCCGUAGUGAAAGCGAGGCUUAAUAGGCCGACUAGUACGUUGGAGUAGACCCGAAACCGGGUGAUCUAUCCAUGAGCAGGUUGAAGCAAGGGUAAAGCCUUGUGGAGGACCGAACCGUCAACGGCUGAAAACGUUCCGGAUGACUUGUGGAUAGGGGUGAAAGGUCAAUCAAACCCGGUGAUAGCUGGUUCUCCCCGAAAUAUAUUGAGGUAUAGCCUCGGGAAUUGAUUAGCGGAGGUAAAGCACUGACAGAGCUAGGGGUCCUACCAGAUUACCAAACUCUAUCAAACUCAGAAUGCCGCUUAAUUGUAUCCCGGGAGUCAGACGGCGGGUGCGAAGGUUCGUCGUCAAAAGGGAAACAGCCCAGACCAACAGCUAAGGUCUCCAAAUCCAUGCUCAGUGGUGAAGGUAGUGGAACCGUUUAGACAGCCAGGACGUUGGCUUAGAAGCAGCCAUCGUUUAAAGAAAGCGUAAUAGCUCACUGGUCUAAUGGCUCUGCGCCGAAAAUGUAACGGGGCUAAGCAUGGUACCGAAGCUUUGGCAAUCUCCUUUGGAGAUUGGGUAGGGGAGCGUUCGCUGCGGGCUGAAGGUGUAUCGGAAGGUAUGCUGGACUGCAGUGAAGUGAUUAUGCUGACAUGAGUAACGAUAAAAUAUGUGAAAAACAUAUUCGCCGAAAACCCGAGGUUUCCUGGGUAAAGGUAAUCUUCCCAGGGUUAGUCGGAUCCUAAGGUGAGGGUGAAAGCCGUAACCGAUGGAAAACAGGUUAAUAUUCCUGUACUUGUUGUGUAGCGCGAUGGAGGGACGCAGGAAGAUAGGCGGGCCGGGUGUUGGAUAUCCCGGUGCAAGCGUGUAGGAAUAUCCGGUAGGCAAAUCCGCCGGACGAAUCUGAGACGCGAGUCCGUGGGCGCAAGCCCUGAAGCCGUUGAGUCUAUGCUGCCUAGAAAAGCUCCUAAGUUUAUCCACAGCAAUCCGUACCGCAAACCAACUCAGGUGGGUGGGAUGAACAAUCCAAGGCGCUCGAGAGAACUCUGGCCAAGGAACUCGGCAAAAUAACCCCGUAACUUCGGAAGAAGGGGUGCUCUCUAGGGUGACAUGUUUAACAUAUGAAGCCCCGGGGAGCCGCAGUGAAUUGGUGGUGGCGACUGUUUACUAAAAACAUAGGUCUGUGCGAAGUCCUAAAGACGACGUAUACGGACUGACGCCUGCCCGGUGCUGGAAGGUUAAAAGGAGGGGUCAGCGCAAGCAAAGCUCCGAAUUGAAGCCCCAGUAAACGGCGGCCGUAACUAUAACGGUCCUAAGGUAGCGAAAUUCCUUGUCGGGUAAGUUCCGACCUGCACGAAUGGCGUAACGAUCUCCACACUGUCUCGGCCAGAGACUCGGUGAAAUUGCAGUCGCGGUGAAAAUUCCGUGUACCCGCAGAAAGACGGAAAGACCCUGUGCACCUUUACUAUAGCUUGACAUUGGAUUUUGGGCCUGCAUGUGUAGGAUAGGUGGGAGGCUGUGAACCCUGUACGCCAGUAUGGGGGGAGCCA